rnacentral:rRNA from 1 species
GACGAACGCUGGCGGCGUGCCUAAUACAUGCAAGUUGAGCGCUGAAGGUUGGUACUUGUACCAACUGGAUGAGCAGCGAACGGGUGAGUAACGCGUGGGGAAUCUGCCUUUGAGCGGGGGACAACAUUUGGAAACGAAUGCUAAUACCGCAUAAAAACUUUAAACACAAGUUUUAAGUUUGAAAGAUGCAAUUGCAUCACUCAAAGAUGAUCCCGCGUUGUAUUAGCUAGUUGGUGAGGUAAAGGCUCACCAGGGCGAUGAUACAUAGCCGACCUGAGAGGGUGAUCGGCCACAUUGAGACUGAGACACGGCCCAAACUCCUACGGGAGGCAGCAGUAGGGAAUCUUCGGCAAUGGACGAAAGUCUGACCGAGCAACGCCGCGUGAGUGAAGAAGGUUUUCGGAUCGUAAAACUCUGUUGGUAGAGAAGAACGUUGGUGAGAGUGGAAAGCUCAUCAAGUGACGGUAACUACCCAGAAAGGGACGGCUAACUACGUG